AGUAAUGUCUGGGAAACUGCCUGAUGGAGGGGGAUAACUACUGGAAACGGUAGCUAAUACCGCAUGACGUCGCAAGACCAAAGUGGGGGACCUUCGGGCCUCAUGCCAUAAGAUGUGCCCAGAUGGGAUUAGCUAGUAGGUGGGGUAACGGCUCACCUAGGCGACGAUCCCUAGCUGGUCUGAGAGGAUGACCAGCCACACUGGAACUGAGACACGGUCCAG
rnacentral:rRNA from 1 species